CCGUCGAUAGCUCAGUUGGUAGAGCGGUGGACUGUAGAUGCAUAGGUCGCUGGUUCGAAUCCGGCUCGAUGGA
rnacentral:tRNA from 1 species